CGGGUGAGUAAUGCGUGACCAACCUGCCCCAUGCUCCAGAAUAGCUCUUGGAAACGGGUGGUAAUGCUGGAUGCUCCAACUUGACGCAUGUCUUGUUGGGAAAGUGUUUAGUGGCAUGGGAUGGGGUCGCGUCCUAUCAGCUUGUAGGCGGGGUAAUGGCCCACCUAGGCUUCGACGGGUAGCCGGCCUGAGAGGGCGGACGGCCACAUUGGGACUGAGAUACGGCCCAGAAUCCUACGGGAGGCAGCAGUC
rnacentral:rRNA from 1 species